rnacentral:lncRNA from 1 species
AGCAACCCUUCUGGGUCCCCUUCCACCACGCAGAAGCUUUACUUUCGCUUUCACUUUACUUUUGCUUUCACUUUAACAAAUCUUGCAGCCGCACACUCUUUGGGUCCGCCCGUUUCUCUAAUCAAGUUGUAACACUCGCUGCUGUGGUCCACAGCUUCAUUCCUUGAAGCCCGUGAGACACGAACGCUUCCAUUGAGAAAAACCUUCCAUCAGAAGAAGACUUCUCGUCUCAGUGGGACUGCUGAGUUGAAUGGUGCUUUUUUUUCUGAAGCUUUGGUAGUGUAACUGUAAGAGUCCUGGAAUUGGAAAAGCAAAUCCAGAAGUUGAGUUCCAUGACUUUUUUGCUGUUUGCCUUUGGACUUGCAUCAUUUAUAUUUUUAAUUCAUCGAGGAUGAGAAAAUUGAUUAACACAAAAUCUUUUCAUGUCUUUUCUGAUGAGAGACUAGCUGAAUCCAAGAAGAGAAGCCCUUGAAGAGUGUAUUCUAUUCUAGACAAGCAUUCACACAUUGGCUUCUUUGGUGCCAGCAUGUUUCUGAUCAGCAUGAAAACUGCGCAGGAGCUUUUCUGUCUUGCAGAGCUAGUUAAUGAGAUUGUUGCUGCCUUCAGAUUCUAUAAAGGACUUCUCCAAUAUUGGAUUAAAGAAUGAAGAAAGGAUCAAAUUGAGACAUCCAGGGGGGAAGAGUUCCCUGGCAAAACUCCAAUCUGCCUGAGCACUGAGGUGGAGCCACAGAAGUCCGGGUCAUUUGCACCUGGGAGGAGCCUGGCCCCUCCUCUUCCUGUGUGGAAUCUGGGAUUUAAUCUGUGAGGAGGGAAGGCCAAGGGCAGGAAGCACAGGCUCUCACUUCACUAAGAGUCUCUGUUUCCCCUUUUUUUCCUUUAUGCCUAAUUAAUAAAUCCCAUUUUUCUCACUCUUCAAAUAGUCUUCAAGCCUAAAUUUUCAUGACCAUGGAACAAGGACCCCAUCUUUAGCUGAACUAAGGAAAAGUCCUGCAACAAAAUUCUUUGCUAAAAAUACAUGAGGUUGCCUUUUCCUUCUUAAUCUUAAAAGAAAUAUAUUUCAAUGGUUAACGUUUUAGUAAUUCAAAAAUUAUCAAGCAUUUGUUCACAACCAUAAGAUGUGCAUUGUUUUAUAUUCCUACUUAAUAAUAGACUAUAAUUGUCUAAUUAGACUGCCGAUGUUGAUCUUUGUGGCUCAUUGCAUUGAUUAUAAGCAGUGUUUUGGGUUUGUGUGUGUGUGUCAAAUUUAGGGUUUUUUUGGUAUGGCUGCUGGUUGGUGUAGCCUGUAUCCAGUAUCCUGUAUUAAUUCUAAUAUUUGCAUUUUGAACAUAUUUACAAGUUGCUAAAAUAGCAAAGCUUCGAGAUGAGCCUGGCUGAUAUGGCAAAACCCCGUCUCUACUAAAAAUACAAAAAUUAGCCUGGUGUGGUGGUGCAUGCCUGUAAUCCCAGCUACUUGGAAGUCUGAGGCAGGAGAAUCUCUUGAACCCAGAAGGUGGAGGUUGCAGUGGGCCAAGAUCGCACCACUGCACUCCAGCCUCGGUGAUAGAGCGAGACUACGUCUCAAAAAUAAAAUAAAAUAAAAUAAAAUAAAAAUAGCAAAGCUAUGUAUGGUUUCUCUGAGUUUUGUAAUUUAUCAUUGUUAACUGCAGAAAUUUAUUAUAUGAGACAUAUUAUAUGAGACAUAUAAGUGAAUUUGGAUUGGGUUUAAUUUUAUAUUUUUGAAUAUAGUUCUUCAAGAUAAAUUUUAUCUUAGACCUCAAGAAAUAAAAAUAAAAUAAAUUAGAUAUACAAACGA